rnacentral:rRNA from 1 species
GACGAACGCUGGCGGCGUGCUUAACACAUGCAAGUCGAACGGAAAGGCCCUGCUUUUGUGGGGUGCUCGAGUGGCGAACGGGUGAGUAACACGUGAGUAACCUGCCCUUGACUUUGGGAUAACUUCAGGAAACUGGGGCUAAUACCGGAUAGGAGCUCCUGCUGCAUGGUGGGGGUUGGAAAGUUUCGGCGGUUGGGGAUGGACUCGCGGCUUAUCAGCUUGUUGGUGGGGUAGUGGCUUACCAAGGCUUUGACGGGUAGCCGGCCUGUGAGGGUGACCGGCCACAUUGGGACUGAGAGACGGCCCAGACUCCUACGGGAGGCAGCAGUGGGGAAUAUUGCACAAUGGGCGGAAGCCUGAUGCAGCAACGCCGCGUGCGGGAUGACGGCCUUCGGGGUGUAAACCGCUUUCGCCUGUGACGAAGCGUGAGUGACGGUAAUGGGUAAAGAAGCACCGGCUAACUACGUG